rnacentral:lncRNA from 1 species
GACCUAUGAAGGCUCAGUUGCCAGGCUGUGACAUGAGGCGAAGCCCAUACUCCUGCCACAUUGGUUGUAAGGAUUAAAUGAGACAGUGCAGGUGAAAGGGCUGGCUCCUUUCUAAGUGCAUGUAUCCCCAGUGCAGAGCAGGAGGGGACCCCCAGAAUAACAAGACCCCAGUGAUCCAGGCCUUCUCCCCUCCCUGGGCCUCAGCUACCCCAGCUCCAACAGCCUCCUCAGGCCCCACCACAUCUUCCAGAUAGGAGCUGUGUGGCAUUGCCACAGGGUCAGCUGUCACCGCGUGACUUCUGGUGACAGGAUCCUGGAAUGGAGGACUGAGAAGGACAGGCUGAAUAUCAGCUUGUGGAGGCAUUGGCCCCAGUCAGCCAAUCAAACAGACUUUUCAGUGUUGUGGGAUGCUGUUCUCCGCUGUGAUUCAGCCCACAAUCAGCUGACUUUAAGGAGGAGAGAUUCUCCCAAUGACCUGGCCCAAUCAGGUGAAGGCUUUCAAAGCAGGGCUGAGGCUCCCCGAGAAGGAGGAAUUCUGCCUGUGGGCACAGCCUCAGAGGAGCCGAGAGCCCGCCUGUGCUCGGAGCCUCCUGUGGCCCGGGCCUGCCCUGCCCAACCCCACAGUCGCCUAAGCCAACUCCUCUCCAAAAACCCUGCAUGUGACCUCCUCCCGCCACCUCUCUGGCUGGCCCUGACCUGGACAGGGACCCUGGAACAUGGCCCCUCACAAACCAGCCCGGGUGCUGUCGAGCCAAAGCUGGGACAGAACGCCUGGGACAGAAUGAUUGCGUCGUUGGGCUGUGACACCCCUCGGCAUCCACUGAGAGACCCAGCAGGGCAGCAGCCGCUGACCCAUCUGCAAGAUCCUUUGGUCACCAUCUCCUGUCAGCGAGGAAACUGAGGCUCAGAGGGUCCCAUGUGGAGACCACCAGGACCACCCACAUGGCCCAUGGUAGCUGGAAGCAGCCCACAGGUGCCACUUGAGGGGACGGGACAGGAAGAUGUGACACAGAAGCGGGCCACAGCAGGAGAACCACAGGGACAGAGAGGAGCCAAUGGGCGGCUGCACAGGGGGCAGAGAAGCCCCUGGCCCGGGCCAGGCCACACCACUCACUGUAAAGUGGGGGCAGGAUGCUGUAAAGGGCAGCAGCCUCCAGGAGGGAAGCUCAGCCUGGAGGCCCCUUCGGGCCCAGAGCAGCACAUUCGGAACCUCAGAUACUGUUCAUCCCCUGGACAGGAGGCCCAGGAGGCCCAGGGCCAGGAAGGCUCUGAGGUAGGCAACUUCUCCCAGCUUGAGCCAGGGUCCCAGAAGCAGAGGAAGAUGCCAUGCAGAGACCAAUACCUCAUGGUCUCACUCCUGUCCAGAGCAGGAGUGGGAGGCACGGGAGGAGGAGGGUCCAGGUACAGUGUCACAUUGGGUGGGAACCGUGCAUCCUGAUGUCCUUAGCCCAGGAGCGUGACUGGUGCUGUUCCAAAAGAGCGGGAGAAGAUUCCAAAGUUCUCAACACAAGGAGAGGGUAAGUGCUGGGGGAAAGACGCAACAGGGACCCUCAUCUGACCACUUGUACACAGUGCACGUUUAUCCACACAUCUCAAGGCACCCCGUAAAUACGCGCACAGUCAUCCUGUGCAAAUUAGAAAUAAAACUUUUUAAAUGUUUCAAAAAGAAAGAGGGUGAGUGGGACAUCUGUGGCUUGCAGCAGGCUGGUGAUAUGGCUCCAGGCAACAGAGCCAGGCUGUGCCAGGCAGCAAAGGCAGCCAUGGAGCUGCCACUGCGACACUCAGAUGCCUGGGGCUGAGCCAAGCAUCUGGCCAUGGGACACCAGGGACUAGUGGCCAGAAAUACCUGCUACAGCUGGCACCAGACUCCCCAAACAGUAAAGGCAGAGCCCCACCGCGGGAUACAAGAGAUCUCCAUGGAAUCGGGCACAGGGGACCUGCACGUGUGGGUGUCUAACUCUCGUCACCCAGCACUGUUGCACCAGCGUAGGGUUAACUGGCCACCUUCCUACAGCAGGUAGGGUGCCCCCACCAGGAGGAAUGAGUGGUACCCGAGGACCCACCAGAGCACUUUGCAAAGCACCUCAUGGGCUCAGACACACCCCAGAUACUUUCCUGUUCACCACAGGCUGCGUUGGGGAAACCCAAGGUAUUCCCUGGGUAUGUCUCAGAAGGGGACGGGCAUUCCAGGGAGUGCCACCUUGGGAGGCUGAAUCUGAUGCCGUCAGCAGCCUGUAAAGAAGAAACCUGCUGCUUUGUCAUCUGGGAAGUGUGUGUCUGGCAGAAUUAUAAGACAUCUUGUGGCUCCCCCACUGGCAUCCAGGCUUCUGUGCGGCCCUCCCCUCGUGUGUGGGUGGGCCUUGGGACUUGCUUCCGACUGGCAGGAGUGGGCAGAGUUGAGCGACACCAUUCUGUGACCAUGUUACGUUACAUGGCCAAGAGAAGGAACUUUUCGGAUGUAAUUAAGGUCCCUAAUCAGUUGACUGUGCGUUAACUCAAAGGGGAGAUUAUUCACCCCAGAACUGAUUGGAAAGGAGGUUUAGAAAUGAAGCUGCUUCCCCUGUGCCCUGAAGGCCACAGAGAAGUAAGCUGUCGGAACUCUACGCCACAAGGUGAAUUUUGUCAUUGACCUCAGGCAGCUUGGAAGCAAACCAUCCCCUAGGGGGCCUGUGGAGGAGGCCACCACCCUGCUGAUGCUGCACUUCUUCUCAGAGACCCUAGAAGAAAGGGCAGACAAGCCGUGCCUAGACUGCUGACCUCAGAACUGUGAACUGAUAAAUGGGUGUUGUUUUAAGCCACUAAUUCUGUGCUCAUUUGUUCCACAGCAAUAGAGCUAAUAUAAUGAGCCUAUUAAAAUCUCUUUAAAAUGCAAUAA